UUUACUACACCUCCAUUUAUCCUUCUUGAUUGCAUUGACUCGUUCUGUGAUGAUAGGUUUCCCCUCCAAGACUUCUUCUAUGUCCAAUAGCCGGGAUGUUUUGACUAGUGUAAAUGGGGUUACUCCCUUCUCCCUGAAUGAUCACCUCCUGACAAUUCCAUUCGAACUUCACGGCUUGAUGUAAUAUGGAAGGCAUGGCUCCAACAACAUGGAUCUAUGGCCGGCACAACAGAAAAUUAUACGAGACUGGUAUGUCAAGCACCUGAAACUUGACGUCGAACUAAGUUGGCCCCAUCUGCAAGAAAAGAUUGAUUUCCCUGAUUGUGGCCCUUUGGGAUCCAUUGAAAGCUUUGACGUUCACACUUCCUAUCCGUAUUUCAUGGAAACCUUUGUCCAACCUUUUCAGAGUGUCUAAUGG
rnacentral:lncRNA from 1 species